rnacentral:rRNA from 1 species
GAUGAACGCUAGCUACAGGCUUAACACAUGCAAGUCGAGGGGCAGCAUGAACUUAGCUUGCUAAGUUUGAUGGCGACCGGCGCACGGGUGAGUAACACGUAUCCAACCUGCCGAUGACUCGGGGAUAGCCUUUCGAAAGAAAGAUUAAUACCCGAUGGCAUAAUUCUUCCGCAUGGUAGAACUAUUAAAGAAUUUCGGUCAUCGAUGGGGAUGCGUUCCAUUAGGUUGUUGGCGGGGUAACGGCCCACCAAGCCUUCGAUGGAUAGGGGUUCUGAGAGGAAGGUCCCCCACAUUGGAACUGAGACACGGUCCAAACUCCUACGGGAGGCAGCAGUGAGGAAUAUUGGUCAAUGGACGAGAGUCUGAACCAGCCAAGUAGCGUGAAGGAUGACUGCCCUAUGGGUUGUAAACUUCUUUUAUACGGGAAUAAAGUGAGGCACGUGUGCCUUUUUGUAUGUACCGUAUGAAUAAGGAUCGGCUAACUCCGUGCCAGCAGCCGC